CCGGUUUUACCCAUUGAUCCCAAGGGUUCUGUGUCGUUUCUUUCUCUCCUUCCAUUCAUCUCUUUCACUUUACCUUUCAGUUCUCCAUUUUCUGCUUUCCUCAACUGGGUUUUCCUUCGUCGUCGUUGUGCGCUCUGAUUUCUCUCAAUUUCUUCCUUUUCGUUUCGCGAAAUUAUCUCCGGCGAGACACGAUCUUUGAUUUUUGCAAUCAUUGUUGGCUGUUCUUCUCUGUUUUUGGCUGCCAUCCGUACGUUGGAUCGAUUUCGUCUUUUUCACCGUUUUGUUUCAGCCUGUCUGUUGAGAGAAUUUUUACGUAUUAAGGUUUCUAUUUUUUUGGAACUUUAGUAUGCAGCUUUGGAAGACAUUUAUGCUUAAGGCUUUAGCGCCGUCGUUUUCCGAAGCCCUCUCAAGUUGUCGAGGAUAUGCAGGGAGAGCAAGUAAAAAGAUUGUAUUCACUGUGUUGACGCAUUAUUGAACAAGAGACCCAAAAGGAAGGACAUAUUCGAUCUCAAGGAUGCGAAUCAUUGCUUCUUUAGAAAAGAUUAAGGAAGUGACGGCACAAAAGCUUCAUAGAAAAAGUAUCAGCUUUUGACUCAAAUUUCAACGGUGCCCCUAUCAUUUCUCCGAAAAUCAAAGCAACCCCAAGCAAUUCCGGAAUCAUUUUUAUGUGUCCCAAAAUCCAUGAUGUUGCAGCAAAGGAAAUAUCAGACACGACUCUUACUCCAAAGGCUCCAACCAGAAAUGUAUCAGAUUCCCCAAUCAUUUCUGAAACCAUAUUUAUGGCUGCAAAACAGAGUAUGUAUACCCUUUCAUUGUUCUCUACUUUUUGAAUUUUUAACGACCUAUUAAACAUGAUCUCUUUAUCCCAUUCGCUUAAAACUCAAAUAGUUCACUAGAUUUCUUUAUCAUAGUAUCUUUCGACCAUCUUUUGUAUGUAGGUAGGACAAUUUCGUAAAUCUUUGGUAUGUAAAUAUUAUAUACAUAUGCUUCAAGCAUUCACUUUUGUAUGUAAAUAGGAUUAUCUACCAAAUCUUUUGCACGUAAAAUA